rnacentral:lncRNA from 1 species
UGCAGGCACUGUUGAACCGCAGAUUGGGGAUGUGGGAGACGGAGUCAUUGAUGGGACGACGUCCGAAGGUGGAUACCUGGUGACGAUGAAAUUCGGUUCUCAAGUGCUGAAAGGAGUGCUUUACCAUCAUGCUAAAAGGCCCCAACAAGCCAUGGGAACACCACCUUCAGGCAUGCCACCAGCAUCACAGCGCCGAGCUAAGAAGAAAGCCAGAGAGACUACUCAAGUUGAUUCUAAGAAACCCAAAUUCCGCAGGAGUGGCUACAAACCUAAGAAACAGGUCACUUACUUAUAGUUAUCAUCAAAUCAAAUCCUUUAACCAAGUGUUUGCUUAUAAUCUGAUACCAUUUUCUUACAGGUUUAUCAAGACAAAGGAGUUACGGAUGGGGAGAGGUACAGAACUGAGAUCAUGCUGGAGUACGAGUCUGCACAUGAGUCUGAUGGAGCAUCUGCUUCUGCAGCCGCCACCAUGGCUCAGUAGUCUUUUCUUUCUUCUGUUAUGUUGUUGUCUUCUUCUUUCUUUAUUACAUUUCUCUUUCUUCUUUCUUUCUCUGGACAAGUUCUCUUUCUUUUAUAAUGAAUAUUUAUAAUGUCAUUGAUCAGUUUGCAGAACAUGUCAUGUUUAUGGUUGUAGGGUUAGUAAAAGAGGUUACUAACUGCGCAUUUAUGUCUUUCUUGCUAUUUUGAUUCAUGAUAUCCCGUUUGUUUGUUUUUUUUGUUUCUGUUUUCAACUUGGAUAUAUCUUAUGUUGUUGCAGAAAUUUGAAUGAACUAUUAUUACUCUUUCCGUUCCAAAUUAAUUCAUGUUUAAAAAAAAAGUAUUUUAAGAAGAUAUAUUUUUAUUAGAUAAUAAUGUAAAAUUUUAAAUUUUGAAAAGAAAUCAUGUUUACUGUACUUCGAUGGAUAAAAAUUAUAGAAAAUAUAGUUAAACACAAAAUAAUGCAUUUAUAAUUAAGAUCAAACAUAUUUUUAAUAUGUGUGGAAAAAUUUAAAACAUACAUUUUUUGAAAUGGGGUAGGGAACAUCAUUUAUUUAACACAUAUGUUUUUUGAAUCCCAUUUUUGUUGUUAGUUUUCAAGAGUUUCAACAUGUUCUCCCAACAUAUAAACAGCUUGUUUUGAUAAUCAAUUUGUGAAAUAACCAAAAAUAAAGAGAGAAUGGGUGAUUUUGGUUAGUUAGUGGAUUUUGUUUUUUUCUUGUAUAUUGGACCUAAUUUCCCAUUAAUAAUGCAAUGAAUGUUUUUAAGCCAACAUGUCAUAUUUGGCAAGAAUGCGUUCAAGGCAACACAAAUUUUUGUGAGAUUAUAAAUAUGGUCAACUUGAUAAUUUUAAUUAUUUAAGGCACUUUACAAACAAAUAAAAUGAUAAGGACUAAAAUAUAAUAACUUAAGAAAAUAAAUCAAUAUAUUUUAGUAUAUACUGACACGUGUCAAUUACGAGGCAUGUUUUAGCUAUUUAUUAUGAGUUUAGGUAUGAACUUCAAAAUUUCAUUUAGUUUACGAAUGUUUUAGCACGUUAAUAUACUCUAGAUACGUAUUUUCUCCGCUUUCAUAGUGUGAAUAUGAAUAAGCCGUUUUCCCCAGUAAGAAACAGACAACAAACGAAGUUAGAAGCAGUGACUCUUAACAAUCUAAUGCGGACAGCAAAAGAAAGAGGCAAAAAACCUGGGUUUGUUGUAGAUUUCAAUAGCAUUGGUAAUAGCAUUAUCAUCAUAAGUAGUACGAGAGAAAAAGCUGACCCCAGGUCUAUCAAGAUGCUGAAACCAAAGUGGAAAGUAGAAAUAGAUGAAGCUUUGUCAAUAAUAAUGCAUAUGGCUACUCAAUAAUCAAUAUAUCCAGACUCUUGACUUUGCAUAUAAGAUCUCCUUGAAAUCCACCGGCAAUUAUUCGUCUUUUAUUGCAAGUGUGCUUAUAUGUGUAAACUCUUCCAGCAAACUUCCAUGGUGUUUCUAAGGGGCUGCUAGUUGGAGUUUGAUUUAUAUAGAUUUAGUUGAUUAGAAGAGUAUAUAGACUUGUUGAAUUCGCAAAGGAAUAGUCAAAAUGUCCUGAUAGUGUUUCCAGCGUCUGUAGAUGAAGUUUUUUAAAGAUUUGGCAUUAUAAAAGUGGUGACCAACCAUUUGAGACUAACUUACACACUUGGGUUCAGGAUCUAGCUAAUAUGUACCUUUCCUGUGUUGGGGUCUACUAUAAGGCCCUCGGGAUUGUCGCCAACAAUAGCUAGUAAUUUACCAUUAGGACUCAAUGAUGUGUGCUGUUACCAACAAAUGGAAGACAGAAGAACAUAAUUAGCCUCUAAAUGCACCAAAAAAUCAAAUAAGUAUAUUAUUUUAAUGGGCCAUGUGGUUAGACAAACUCAUUAACUAAUCAAUGGGCUUUAUUAACAUUAUCUCACUAAUCUAGUCAAUGUAUAUAGAUAUGUAUCUAGCCAAAAAAAGGAAGCAAUCUUAAUUUGUAUCUUUUUGGUCUUGUUAAGACUAAAACAGUUGCUUAACAAGCUGGUAUCUCUCCAUGUCAAAAUCUCUAACUCCACAGUCAUUAUUCGAGGCAGUAAAAUGAAGAGCACCACUAUGAACAGAUGACAAAAACUAAGUUAGAAGCAGUGACUCUAACAAUUUAAAUGUAAACCCUUCAGCAGAAACUUGGGUUUGUUGUAGAUCUCAAUAGCAUUGGUAAUAGCAUUAUCUUCAUAAGUAGUACGAGAGCAAAAGCUGACGCCAGGUCUAUCAAGAUGCUGAAACCAAUGUGGAAAGUAGAAAGAUGUUUUUCCUACAAAUUUGCAAAAUCACAUUUUCCGGCCAAAGUCGUAAAAUCAUAUCCCCAAAAUCAUGAAAUCACGCUUCCCGCAAAAACCGUGAAAUAUUUUUUUCCCGGAAAACCAUAUAUCAUGUUUUCGCGUCAAAACCGUAAAAUUAUGUUUUUCCACCAAAAUCGUAAAAUCACAUUUUUCGCCAAAACUAUGUUAGAACCGUAAAAUUACGAUUUCUGCAAAAAUCGCAAAAUUAAGUUUUUCCGUCAAAACCGUAAAUCACAUUUUCCUCAAAACCACAAAUUACGUUUCCCACUUUCUUGGUAGAAUUAUUCAUGUCUACCACCACUAAAGAGAUAUUUUUAAAAAACAUUCUUCAUUAAGUGGCAAAAGACUUUUAUAUCUUUGUUCUAUAUAUAUAUAUGAUAAAUAAUUAUUUAAAUAAACUAAAAUAUAUUUUUAUAUAUAUCCCCUUAUAUUAAAUUUUUGAAGUUAUAAAUAUGGUCAACUUGAUAAUUUUAAUUAUUUAAGGCACUUUACAAACAAAUAAAAUGAUAAGGACUAAAAUAUAAUAACUUAAGAAAAUAAAUCAAUAUAUUUUAGUAUAUACUGACACGUGUCAAUUACGAGGCAUGUUUUAGCUAUUUAUUAUGAGUUUAGGUAUGAACUUCAAAAUUUCAUUUAGUUUACGAAUGUUUUAGCACGUUAAUAUACUCUAGAUACGUAUUUUCUCCGCUUUCAUAGUGUGAAUAUGAAUAAGCCGUUUUCCCCAGUAAGAAACAGACAACAAACGAAGUUAGAAGCAGUGACUCAGGGCUGAAUGAUAUUCCAGAUAUCUCUCCAAAGAAGUCGAUCUCCUGCUCUGUUUCAUACCCCUUUGAGACGUCAUAGACGUGCACAAAGUCUGCCGGUUCGGCCAUGGCCAUGUAUUUUCCGUCGGACGUGUAGCGGAUCGACCGGAUUGCUCCAAGGUUACCCUUCAGGACAGCAACAGAGUGAGAUAGGUUGCGGAUGUCCCAUACACGGCAGGUCUUGUCUUGGUUUCCAGUUGAGAAAGUGAUUCCGUCAGGAUGCCACGCUGAGGCAAAGGAGUAGUCAAAAUGUCCUGAUAGUGUUUCCAGCGUCUGUAGAUGAAGUUUUAAAGAUUUGGCAUUAUAAAAGUGGUGACCAACCAUUUGAGACUAACUUACACACUUGAGUUCAGGAUCGAAAAUAUUUGUACCUUUCCUGUGUUGGGGUCUACUAUAAGGCCCUCGGGAUUGCCGCCAACAAUAGCUAGUAAUUUACCAUUAGGACUCAAUGAUGUGUGCUGUUACCAACAAAUGGAGGACAGAAGAACAUCAUUAGCCAAACUGAAACUCCGAAUUAUGCCAAAAUAAAAGGAAAACUAUGAGAGAAGCAAGGACUUUACGUUCACUGGCCAAGGAAAGGAAAAAUGCUUAACAAGCUGGUAUCUCUCCAUGUCAAAAUCUCUAACUCCACAGUCAUUAUUCGAGGCAGUAAAAUGAAGGGCACCACUAUGAACAGAUGACAAAAACUAAGUUAGAAGCAGUGACUCUAACAAUUUAAAUGUAAACCCUUCAGCAGAAACCUGGGUUUGUUGUAGAUCUCAAUAGCAUUGGUAAUAGCAUUAUCAUCAUAAGAAGUACAAGAGCAAAAGCUGACACCAGGUCUAUCAAGAUGCUGAAACCAAUGUGGAAAGUAGAAAGAUGUUUUUCCUACAAAUUUGCAAAACCACAUUUUCAGGCCAAAGUCGUAAAAUCAUAUCCCCCAAAAUCAUGAAAUUACGCUUCCCGCAAAAACCGUGAAAUAUUUUUUUCCCGGAAAACCAUAUAUCAUGUUUUCGCGUCAAAACCGUAAAAUUAUGUUUUUCCACCAAAAUCGUAAAAUCACAUUUUUCGCCAAAACUAUGUUAGAACCGUAAAAUCAUGAUUUUUGCAAAAAAUCGCAAAAUUAAGUUUUUCCGUCAAAACCGUAAAUCACAUUUUCCUCAAAACCACAAAUUACGUUUUCCCACUUUCUUGGUAUAAGAAUUAUUCAUGUCUACCACCACUAAAGAGAUAUUUAAAAAAAAACAUUAUUCAUUAAGUGGCAAAAGACUCUUAUAUCUUUGUUCUAUAUAUAUAUGAUAAAUAAUUAUUUAAAUAAACUAAAAAAUAUUUUUUUUAUAUCCCCUUAUAUUAAAUUUUUGAAGUUAUAAAUAUGGUCAACUUGAUAAUUUUAAUUAUUUAAGGCACUUUACAAACAAAUAAAAUGAUAAGGACUAAAAUAUAAUAACUUAAGAAAAUAAGUCAAUAUAUUUUAGUAUAGACUGACACGUGUCAGUUACGAGGCAUGUUUUAGCUAUUUAUUACUCCCUCCGGUUUUUAAUAUAAGUCGUUUUAAAGAAAUUUUUUUGUUCCAAAUUAUAUGUCGUUUUCGAUUUUCUAUGUAAAAUUUAUUAAUAAUUAAUGAUGUCUGACCAAUGAUAAUAUAUUUUCUAUUUUUCUAUUGGUUGAAUUGUAGUUAGGUAAAUAAUUAAUGAUGUUUUUGUUUAGAAAAUAUAAGAAAUUAAUGAUUUUCUUAAUCUAUGUGCAUAGCUGUAAGACGACUUAUAUUAAAAAACGGAGGGAGUAUAAGUUUAGGUAUGAACUUCAAAAUUUUAUUUAGUUUACGAAUGUUUUAGCACGUUAAUAUACUCUAGAUAUAUAUUUUUUCCGCUUUCAUAGUGUGAAUAUGAAUAAACCGUUUUCCCCAGUAAGAAACAGACAACAAACGAAGUUAGAAGCAGUGACUUUUAACAAUCUAAUGCGGACAGCAAAAGAAAGAGGCAAAAAACCUGGGUUUGUUGUAGAUUUCAAUAGCAUUGGUAAUAGCAUUAUCAUCAUAAGUAGUACGAGAGAAAAAGCUGACCCCAGGUCUAUCAAGAUGCUGAAACCAAAGUGGAAAGUAGAAAUAGAUGAAGCUUUGUCAAUAAUAAUGCAUAUGGCUACUCAAUAAUCAAUAUAUCCAGACUCUUGACUUUGCAUAUAAGAUCUCCUUGAAAUCCACCGGCAAUUAUUCGUCUUUUAUUGCAAGUGUGCUUAUAUGUGUAAACUCUUCCAGCAAACUUCCAUGGUGUUUCUAAGGGGCUGCUAGUUGGAGUUUGAUUUAUAUAGAUUUUGUUGAUUAGAAGAGUAUAUAGACUUGUUGAAUUUGGAAUGAGUUGGAGAAAAUUUUGUAACAAUCUAUAAAAAUAAAUAACUCAAAUAUUUUUUAGAAUCCAAAGGAUAUAUGUAGUACUUUUUAUGAGUUAAAUAAUUAAGAAUACAAUUCUCAAUAACAGUAACUUUAAUAAAUUUACAGAAAUAUUAAAAUCCAAACUUUCGAAUAACAAAUGAUUUUUAGAUUUUAGUGAGAAUAUGAAAAUCUAUAAAUCAAUAACACUACUAUUUAAAUUCUAAAAAUUAAUUCCACUAACACCUUCUAAAUGCACCAAAAAAUCAAAUAAGUAUAUUAUUUUAAUGGGCCGUGUGGUUAGACAAACUCAUUAACUAAUCAAUGGGCUUUAUUAACAUUAUCUCACCAAUCUAGUCAAUGUAUAUAGAUAUGUAUCUAGCCAAAAAAGGGAAGCAAUCUUAAAUUGUAUCUUUUUGGUCUUGUUAAGACUAAAACAGUCAUUAACACAUCAGCAAUACUUAUCUAAUUAAUUAAUUACAUUUAUUUUUUAAAUAUCAUUAAAGCUUUGAAUGUUUACAACCACACCAUAGUUAAUAAUUACGAAAAUCUCUACAUAUAUUUGUGUAUAUCAGAAACGCAAAUGUAGUUGUUACACAAGCUAACAUUCAGACCUUAUGUUUUCUCCUUAGGUGUUAAGGAACUGAUUUAUUAUAAAGAUAAUAAGGUCCUCACAAACUCUCCAUUCACCAACACAGCAAAAAAAAUUAAUUACAUUUAUUUUUUAAAUAUCAUUAAAGCUUUGAAUGUUUACAACCACACCAUAGUUAAUAAUUACGAAAAUCUCUACAUAUAUUUGUGUAUAUCAGAAACGCAAACGUAGUUGUUACACAAGCUAACAUUCAGACCUUAUGUUUUCUCCUUAGGUGUUAAGGAACUGAUUUAUUAUAAAGAUAAUAAGGUCCUCACAAACUCUCCAUUCACCAAGACAGCAAAAAAAAGAUGUCAACAGUUUCACCCUCCUCGCAACUGGUUCAGGUGGUUCCAGACAACCACAACAACACUGACGACUCCUCUGCGGAGGUCAACUACGAAGAUCUUGUCCGUAAGUCAUGUCUAUUUGACCUUUUAUUUGACAUUAAGGUUCAUUAGUUUCCUCACAGGUUUAAAACAUUUUACAACACUCAUGUUCUUGUUUUCUCUUUACUUUGUAACAUGCUGAGACACCAUACCUCUUAUGUUUUUCAGAGGAAGCAAUGGAGAGCUUGUCCCUCGAGGAAGGUAUUAAAAAAAGGUUUCUCUAACUCUGUGGCUUUGUAUCACUUUGCGACUUAUUGAAUUUCCACCUUAUGGAACUUGCAGGCACUGUUGAACCGCAGAUUGGGGAUGUGGGAGACGGAGUCAUUGAUGGGACGACGUCCGAAGGUGGAUACCUGGUGACGAUGAAAUUCGGUUCUCAAGUGCUGAAAGGAGUGCUUUACCAUCAUGCUAAAAGGCCCCAACAAGCCAUGGGAACACCACCUUCAGGCAUGCCACCAGCAUCACAGCGCCGAGCUAAGAAGAAAGCCAGAGAGACUACUCAAGUUGAUUCUAAGAAACCCAAAUUCCGCAGGAGUGGCUACAAACCUAAGAAACAGG